rnacentral:rRNA from 1 species
GGCAUGGAUUAGGCAUGCAAGUCGAACGCGAAAGUACCCUUCGGGGUGCGAGUAGAGUGGCGAACUGGUGAGUAACAGGUGGGUAAUGUGCCUCCGAGCGGGGGAUAACCCUUGGAAACAGGGGAUAAUACCGCAUGUGGCUCGACGGCCGUCGGACCGUCGGGUUAAAGGUGCGCUUCGCGCGCGCCGCUUGGAGAGCAGCCCGCUUCCGAUUAGCUUGUUGGUGGGGUAACGGCCUACCAAGGCAACGAUCGGUAGGUGGCCUGAGAGGGUGGUCACCCACACUGGGACUGAGAUACGGCCCAGACUCCUACGGGGGGCAGCAGUCUAGAAGCUUCCACAAUGGACGAAAGUCUGAUGGAGCGACGCCGCGUGCGGGAUUGAAGGCCGUGAGGUUGUAAACCGCUGUCAGCAGGGAAGAAUGCCCGGAUGGCGAAUCCGGGAGAGACGGUACCUGCAGAGGAAGCCCCGGCUAACUCCGUGCCAGCAGCCGCGGUAAUACGGAGGGGGCAAACGUUGUUCGGAUUUACUGGGCGUAAAGGGUGCGUAGGCGGUUCGGUCAGUCUGGUGUGAAAUCCCACGGCUCAACCGUGGACCCGCAUUGGAAACUGCCGAGCUCGAGAGUGGGAGAGGCAGGUGGAAUUCCUGGUGUAGCGGUGGAAUGCGUAGAUAUCAGGAAGAACACUCGUGGCGAAGGCGGCCUGCUGGCCCAUUUCUGACGCUGAGGCACGAAAGCCAGGGGAGCGAACGGGAUUAGAUACCCCGGUAGUCCUGGCCGUAAACGGUGAACACUGGGUGUCGGGGGUAUCGACCCCCUCGGUGCCGGAGCUAACGCGUUAAGUGUUCCGCCUGGGGAGUACGACCGCAAGGUUGAAACUCAAAGGAAUUGACGGGGGCUCACACAAGCGGUGG